rnacentral:rRNA from 1 species
CUUCCAGCCGAUCAAACACAAUUGCAAUUUGACAGUCCAGGCGAGCCUGACGGAGCAAUGCUGCGUGGAGGUAGAAGGCCCACGGGUCGUGAACUUCUUUUCCCAAAGAAGAAGCAAUGACGGUAUCGGGGAAUAAGCAUCGACUAACUCUGUGCCAGCAGCCGCGGUAAGACAGAUGAUGCAAG